UUACGGCCACAUUACGUUGAGACACCGGUUCCUGUACGAUCACCGAACUUAAGCAACGUCAAGCCUGGUCAGUACCUUGAUGGGUGACUGCUUGGAAAUACCAAGUGCUGUAAG